AAUCCUACAGCUUAACUGUAGAACUGCCAUUGAUACUGGGAGCCUGAAUUUAGUUGAAGUGGCUGGAAUGUGUCAUGUAGCGGUGAAAUGCAUAGAGAUGACACAGAACACCGAUAGCGAAGGCAGGUCACUAAACUAAUAUUGACGCUCAUGCACGAAAGCGUGGGGAUCAAACAGGAUUAGAUACCCUGGUAGUCCACGCCGUAAACUAUGAUAACUAGCUGUUGGCGAUAUACAGUCAGUGGCUGAGCGAAAGCAUUAAGUUAUCCACCUGGGGAGUACGACCGCAAGGUUGAAACUCAAAGGAAUUGACGGGGGCCCGCACAAGCGGAGGAGCAUGUGGUCUAAUUCGAUGAUACGCGAGGAACCUUACCUGGGCUCGAACGUAGAUCGAUGUAUGCCGAAAGGUAUAUUCCCUUCGGGGCGAACUACGAGGUGCUGCAUGGUUGUCGUCAGCUCGUGCCGUGAGGUGUUAGGUUAAGUCCUGUAACGAGCGCAACCCUUAUCUUUAGUUGCCAGCAUGUAAUGAUGGGGACUCUAAAGAAACUGCCGGCGCAAGCCGUGAGGAAGGUGGGGAUGACGUCAAAUCAGCACGGCCCUUAUGUCCAGGGCGACACACGUGCUACAAUGGUCGGUACAGAGGGCAGCUACAUGGUGACAUGAUGCUAAUCUCGAAAACCGAUCUCAGUUCGGAUCGAAGUCUGCAACUCGACUUCGUGAAGUUGGAUUCGCUAGUAAUCGCGCAUCAGCCAUGGCGCGGUGAAUACGUUCCCGGGCCUUGUACACACCGCCCGU
rnacentral:rRNA from 1 species